rnacentral:rRNA from 1 species
CCUACGGGAGGCAGCAGUAGGGAAUAUUGCUCAAUGGGGGAAACCCUGAAGCAGCAACGCCGCGUGGAGGAUGAAGGUUUUCGGAUUGUAAACUCCUUUUGUUAAAGAAGAUAAUGACGGUAUCUAACGAAUAAGCACCGGCGAACUCCGGGCCAGCAGCCGCGGUAAUACGGAGGGUGCAAGCGUUACUCGGAAUCACUGGGCGUAAAGAGGGCGUAGGCGGGUUAACAAGUCAGAUGUGAAAUCCUAUGGCUUAACCAUAGAACUGCAUUUGAAACUGUUAUUCUAGAGUAUGGGAGAGGUAGGUGGAAUUCUUGGUGUAGGGGUAAAAUCCGUAGAGAUCAAGAGGAAUACUCAUUGCGAAGGCGACCUGCUAGAACAUAACUGACGCUGAUGCGCGAAAGCGUGGGGAGCAAACAGGAUUAGAUACCCCAGUAGUC